rnacentral:misc_RNA from 1 species
UAUAUAAUAUAUAUAUAAAAGUGAAUUAUUGACAAAAGGUAGACAAUAUUUUUCUACGCGUCGAGAUGAAACUUAUGUAAAUGGAGCGUGCGAUUAUAUAAAUAGUUCAUAGAAUAAGAAGAAGUAAAAGAAAGGGAAUAAAGAAAAAAAGAAAGGAAAAAAAAGAAAAAACAAGAAAACCGAAAAAGAAGAAUAAGAAGAAGAAGAAGAAGAAACUAAUUCAGUGAUUGGUUAUUUCUAAAUGUAACGUGCUUUGUGUGGUCAGUAAGGAUAAUUCAGAUUUGUGCGUAUAUUCCAGACGUUCUCAGUUCUCAAGUAAUACUGCCUAUCCAUAUCAGGCAGCACCAGGGGUUUUAAUCUCUGCUUUGCCAGAAACAUGGCGUAAAGUGAUUGUUUCACAUGUGUCAGUGAUUUGGUUGAUUGAUUUGGUAUAUAUUCCUAGAUUUCAUAUUGAGGUACAUAUCAUUACAGCUAUAUUAUUGAUAACAAAAUAACAGGAAUAUCAUGGUUCAUAGGACGAAUGAAAUUAAUAAAAAAUGUUUGAUUCCAUAUAUCAUCAAAGAGUCUAAGGAUAAACAAGAUAUAAGUGGAAAGCUUGAGCUGCAUGAGUCUAUGCAAGUUAAAGAUUUGUAUAGUCUUAUCGAAGAACAACAUCGAUUACGUCCAGAUUCAUUUACAGUACAUUUAAAUACAGGACAAAGAACGAUGGUUAGCGUAUCAGAAAUGAAAAAUAAAACAAUGUUAGAUUUGUUAGAUAAGGGUUCUGAAUCUAAUUCUGAAUCUAAUUCUGAAUCUAAUGAAACGUCGAAUACUCUUGUCGUCAAUGUUCAUAAUAAAGUUAUUAAAUAUUUAGAAUCCGAGCCAUCUUCAUGCGAUCCUACACCGCAGCAUCAAUUAUCAUCUAAUUGGAAUGAGAAUAAUAUUAACUUGAAAGGUCCUCUCAAACCUGAAACAAAUUAUGUUGGUUUGGUAAAUCAAGCAAUGACGUGUUAUCUUAACAGUCUUCUUCAAGCAUUAUAUAUGACACCAGAAUUUCGCAAUGCUCUUUAUAAUUGGGAAUAUAUUGAAGGUUCAGAAAAAGAUGAAACCAAGAGUAUUCCAUAUCAGUUGCAAAAAUUGUUUCUCAACUUACAGACGUCUACAAAAUCUGCAGUGGAGACUACAUCGUUGACCAAAAGUUUUGGAUGGAAUUCUAACGAAGCUUGGCAACAGCACGAUAUUCAAGAACUCUGUAGAGUUAUGUUCGAUGCGUUGGAACUUAAAUUCAGAAAUACAGAACAAGCCGAUCUUAUUAAUAGAUUGUAUGAAGGAAAAAUGCUUGAUUAUGUUAAAUGUUUGGAGUGCGGAACAGAGAAAUCAAGAGAAGACACUUUUCUUGAUAUUCCUUUACCAGUUAGGCCAUUUGGUAGUAAUAUAGCAUACAACAGUGUGGAAGAAGCGAUGAAAGCAUUUGUCCAAUAUGAAACAUUAGAGGGAGCAAAUCAGUAUCAUUGUGAAAAAUGUAACAAAAAAUGUAAUGCACAGAAAGGAUUAAAGUUCACUAAAUUUCCCUAUCUUUUAACAUUACAUUUAAAACGAUUUGAUUAUGACAACAACAGCUGUCAUAGAAUUAAACUUAACGAUAAAGUCACGUUUCCAGAUACAUUGUUGUUAAAUUCUUUUAUUCCAUCAACGAGUCAAGAAUCACCUUCCGGAGAAGAAGAUAUCGGUGUAGGUAUAAAAUGCGAUGAUAGUUCAACUACGGAUAGCGGUACAUUAGACGAUGAUUGUCCACCGUGCGAUAACAAUCAUACAAAUUAUAAUUCAUUGAACAAUCAUGAUCCGGAUGACGAUGAAGGUAUUGAUAUGAGUAACGGACCAUCGACAUCAUCUAAUUGUAACAAACACAAUUAUAAAAAUGGAAAGCACCAAGGUAAUUGCAUAAUAGAAUCAGGUCCAUACAUAUAUGAAUUAUUUUCGAUUAUGAUACAUAGUGGAAGCGCCAGUGGUGGCCACUAUUAUGCUUACAUUAAGGAUUUUAGGACACGAGAAUGGUGGUGCUUCAAUGAUCAAAGUGUUACUCAGAUAACUCAGGAUGAUAUUCAAAAAACUUAUGGUGGUGGUUCAACUAGAGCAUAUUAUAGCGGAGCAUAUAGUAGUAGCACAAAUGCUUAUAUGCUUAUGUAUAGGCAAAUAGAUCCAAUUCGUAAUGCUUUACCGAUGCAAACACAAGAUUUUCCUCGGCAUAUCCAGGAAUUGUUAAAAAAAAUGAAAGAAAGCGAAGACAAUGAUAGAAGAAAUAGAGAAAAACAAAUAGCAUGGCCUAAAUUAAAAAUUUAUUGUCAUCAUCCAAUAACCGGCAAUCUGUGUCACACUAAAUUAAUAACAAUGCCCGGAUAUAAAUUAGCCGAAGUGACGGAAGAAGCUUAUAACAAAUUAGAUCUUCGUGAUGUAGUGAAAUUAAAUCAAUGUCGUUUAGUAGCGUACAAACACAGCACAGAUCUGAUUGAAUGCAGUUACGAAGGAAGAGAACAAGAUGAAAUUUCUAGUAUUUGGUAUAAUAAAAGUUCCAUUGAGCUUCUUUUAGAAAUACGUAAGGAGGAUGAAACGUUUGAAGUUUAUAAACCUGGUGGUAUUACAACUAAAGUAUUUGUGAUAGAUAUUCCCAAAGUAGAUAUUAUAGAUGGACCAAUUAAUGUACGGGGUUUGCUCACUCAAAGUGUCAAGGAUUACAAGCAAAUGUUAGGAAACAUCAUUAAUAUGGAUCCUAAACAAAUGAAACUAGUUUUAAUGGUUUUAAGAAAACGUAAAGUAGAUAUUAAAUUAAUAGAUAGAGACGAUAUUGAUCUUCAAACAGCUGAAUUUAUGGAUGCAAGUAACAAAGUAUUCGUAUCUACUAUGCUCGAUGUGGAUAGUAAUAAAGGUUUUGAUGAGACAACAAUGUAUAAGCUCAUAUUAAGGCUCGAAAGUUUUAUCUCAAUACAAGUACAGAUACCUGAUAUAAGCAAAGAAAUAUUGGAAGAAUUAGACGUCGUAUCUUUGGCUGACAAAUAUGAAAAUAGAGAGAAUCGUUUCACCAAUGGAUUGUCUAAAUUAUCGAUUAACGAUUUAAAUAAUUAUAGCGACACACGAUGUGAAAUGUUGCGAGAUGUUACUAAAAUAUCAGUGAAAAAUGAUGAUUGCUCAAUACCGGAUUUGCCAUCAGCAGAACCAGAAGAAUGGAAUAUUUCUGAAUUAAGUAACAGCGAAGACAGCAGUCUUAGUGAUAGCGAUAAAACUUUGGUGGGAGAUACUCAAGAGGACGAUGAUUUUCCACCAUCUUAUCAUCCACCUCUUUCGGAUAAUAGAAGAUUCGAUAUAGGAAAUCAAUUAGACAUACACAAUUCUGAUAUCGAUGAUGAGUCUGAAUAUUACUUUAAAGCUACUUCUUGUACAAACACCAAUCGAAAAUUACUUAAGGUUUUAGUAGAUAAAAGAAUGCAAUUGAGCACUCUGAAAAAAGAUUUGGAGCCUUAUGUGGGCGUACCUGUUGAAUAUUUCAAAGUUUUCCGACAAUGUGGCGAUGGCGAAUCCGAAUGUACUUGCCUGACGGAUCAACUUUUUGCUUUCGAUGAUGGUGAACGUCUUAAUAUAAAAUUAGGAAGAGCGCUGCGCAGCGGAGAAUAUAAAAUAAAGCUAUUUCAAUUAUGUAUCGAUUCAAUUACAGAGCCUUACAAAUUCUUAUGCGAAACAAUACUUUCUAAAGAUAUGACAUUCGGUCAAGCAAAGAAGCAAAUUUUAGCCGAAUUAAAGAAAAAGCAUAAUAUAGACAUACCGUAUGAAAAGUGUAGACUGAGAAAAAAAUAUCAUAAUAUAGCUUCCAAGGUAUUUUUAGAUAAACAGAAAUUUGAUCAACUACUACUUACACAAUACGAAAUGAUUGUCCAAGAGUUACCGGAGAAAGAACUCGUUACCGAUAGUGACAAUCAAGUAGUUUUGUUUGUUCGAAGAUGGUUCCCCGCCAAAGUGCAACUUGAUCAACUUCAAGAAGUUGUAUUAGAUGAAAAAUCGAUAGAGGAAUUAAAAAGAAAGAUAUCUUCUAUAUCAAAUAUACCUGAAAAAUACAUAGAUAUAGCAAAGGGAAAAGGUACUUUUCCGUGUGAUAUACAUGUAUUGAAAGUUCAUACCGAUCUUCAGUGGACCGAGCACUUAAUCGGUAACGAAAAUAUAUACGAUGAUUUUGAAGAUGGUGCUGUCUUCCUUUACAGGGAUAGCCGGGAGGAGUUAAAAAAAUUAAGUCCAGACGAAACGAAGGAGAUUACUAAUAAAGAAACUGCACGAUUCAUCCAACUAUCAUCCUCGACGGGUUACAAUAGACGUAGUGAGAAAGCGCUUAAAAUAUAUUUGGAUACUAAAUGAUCCUGCAUUAAUUGUACAUCUACUGAAUGGCAGUAGUUAAUCGAAUACAAUAAGGAACAUGAAACAUUGAGGUGCAAGGUACUUGAAGCGAAAGCAAAAAAUGGUGAUUGUAUCCCAUUUUCAAGAAACAACCAAAUGUUUUAUGCUCCAGUAUCUAUUGACUCUUUGUGCAAAUGUCAUACCAAAAGAGAGAAGUUUAAUAUUCGUAAGAUAAUAUAUCACAAAUUGAACAAUGA